CAGAGGAACAUCACAGCGUGUGUUUUUAUUUCCAUUAGCUGCUGCCGUCAUCAUCUGAGCAGGAAGUGAAUUUUAAGUCCAUUAUAAGUCAUUAAUAAUCAAUAUCUGCACAGUUAGUGUAUGUUACUCUGUUUCUCUCUCAGCGUCAGCGCCUGCAGCCGUGAUGAUCUUAUCACAACUCAAACUGUUCCUGCACUUUUCUCCACUUUCUGGAGCAUUUGCAUAAAUCGGUUCAACUGGUGAAAAACAGACGACGCCCUGAGUCAACAGAGAGUUCGACCUCGGCGCGUUAGCCUCGUACGUCUCGUCUGAAGGGACCGCGCUUUGCAGACGCUCCCUUGCACUGUUGACAUUCACAGCACACGUCCUCCUCCCAGGAGUAUCCCACAAUGCUGUGCUGCACUGGCUGGUUGCUAGGUUACAGCGUGGGGUGUGCACACAGUGCUGCGUUGAUGGAAAUGUCCAGAUGACUGACUUCAUAGCUCGACUCCCUGACUUGGGAUUCACCUCACAGGUCAAAGCGAAUGUUAUGGGUGUGUGAGCACAUUCAUUCAUUCAUUCAUUCAUUCAUUCAUUCAAACCCUAAACCUUCAUUCGCUCACAUUCUGUCUUUCUAACACGGCGUGAAAAUGAAUGAACGUAAACGUGUUUUAUGUCUUUAAAAGAUGGCGGUAAAUGCACUUGAAAAAGAGGAAGUGAAGAUUUUCAAACUGUUUUCUUUCGUUUCAUCGUGUUUGACGUCACAAACGUCUCCGUAAACAAUCAACUUGAUGUAAAACAAAUGAUUGAUUUAAUCUUCUGGUUUGAUCAAAGAUGCCAAUGUGGAAGGGAGAAUAUCAUGAAUGUCCACCAGGGGGCGAAACUAAAGAUCCACAUCAGGAUCACCCAAAGACAAAAUCGCACAAAGACAUUGUUUGUUUUUAAUGCUUCAAUUUUUGAUUCUCAAUUGAAUAAUGGGAAGA